rnacentral:lncRNA from 1 species
UCAAGAGCACGCAUACACCAACAGCCCGCUGCCUCCCAGAAAUGCAGGAAUCGCUGUGCCUGUCUUGUACAAAACUCUUGUUCGAGAGUACUUGUACAAAACACAGUUCUGCUGUGCUUUGAGAUCACUUCACCCUGAUCAAGCUUCAUCCUUGUGCUGUUGUGUCACCCUGUGGUGACAGCUGAUAUGACAUGCAAACUAAAAGAAAUCUUAAUUUAGCAGCUUGGGAGCUCCUAGUUGAAGUGUGAUUACACAAGAUGAAACCUUUGCCUUGGCCCUUCCUCACCAUAUGGAACUGCAGAUGAGAAGGUUUUAAGUUUCCCUUAUAUAUAAGAUAUGGAAGCAGAGGGACUCUUCUCAGCUGGAAUGCAUCAGCCGUGCUGCUGAAAUCAGCACGUUACACCAGCCGAGCACGUGGCCUGAAGUGUCUGUGCACAGGGUGCAGGGAGGAUGUUCACUCAGGAGACCUUUCAGCAGUGGAAAGAGGAGCAUGUUGUUUUGCUGCUAUGCCAGAAGGGCAGCAUCCAUCUCACUGAGCCAGCUGCUGAGCUCCAUGUUUUGAGGAGGCUACUACAGCAGACUGCGACUCUCAAGCUUUUCAAGCCCAGAAGGAUUGGAGAGGAAACAGAGGAAAUGACUGGCAGCUAUGUGACUAUACUGAAAAAUUAGUUUCUUUUAAGAGGACGCUGCGAUACUAUCAAGUUAUUAUUCCUCUGCUGUGUACACUACGCUCUCUGAAAACAUUUGGUUACUCUCUUUUCUUGCAGAUCAGUUGGAGAAGAGCGCUGUGUUCUUCUUCACCCUAGUGAGAGCAGAGAACAUGAUCUGAAAUGAGAUUAUUUGAACCAGCACUGCUGCCGUAGGGACUGACUGUGCUAAUCAAACACAGCCCUGCAUAAGGCCAGUUUGGUGACAUAUCGCCACGUUCUAGCAAGAACUGUGUUCCCAGAAAUGCCUCCCUCGCUCUACAAUGAGCUAGGGAAGCCUAGCCCAUCUGGCCAGUCUCCUGGACCAGCAAAAGGUCCCACCUUCUCUUUCUCCCCCAGCAUGAUUUUACAUAUCAAGUACACUUGAAGAGAAUUCAUAAUGCUCAGGACUUGCGGAGACCCUGCUCCCUUAGCAGUAUGGAGAACCAAUGAGGAAGCCCCUUUUACCAUCUUGUCUGGACAUAGACAUCAGUUCCAGACAACCUCUGAGCCAUACACUAACAUUUUGAUCUUUAUGUGGACUUUGACUUGUGUGUGCAAACACCGGAAUUUUUUUCAGAACCACUAUGAACUAUGAACAUGCCUUUGAGGAGAGCCCUGCCAGUCAGCGACAUGGCUAAUCAUGCUCUGCGUUACAACGAAUCCUGCCCUCAAGCUACAGCUCCCACCAAAAUCAGGAAAACAGGGAAGAAGGCCUUUAAAAAAACCUUUAAACUGCCAUGCCUGUAGCCUAUCUGCUUUGCCCAUCAUGAUAAGCAAUUUAUCCAGCAUCUUGCCUUAUUCAUGUCACUAGGAAAAUCUUUGCCCUGUACAGAAUGAUCAAACAUAGAAUUAUCUAUUCCUUUUUCCAAGCAAGUAUAUUGGGUACUUUGACUCAUGCUCUUGGAGGGCUGUUUUUACAAUUGCUGCCCUUGGAACUACACCUUAAAACUCUUAGUUCAUAUUCUUAAAUAAUUUUCACA